rnacentral:misc_RNA from 1 species
GAUGAAGAACGUAGCGAAAUGCGAUACUUGGUGUGAAUUGCAGAAUCCCGUGAACCAUCGAGUCUUUGAACGCAAGUUGCGCCCGAAGCCAUCAGGUUGAGGGCACGUCUGCCUGGGCGUCACAUGUCGUUGCCCAAUGCCUAUUGCAGUGCAAUAGGAAUUUCUAGGGCGAAUGAUGGCUUCCCGUGAGCGUUGUUGCCUCGCGGUUGGUUGAAAAUCGAGUCCUUGGUAGGGUGUGCCAUGGUAGAUGGUGGUCGAGUUAGAACGAUACCGAUCAUGUGCAUGCUCCCCAAAAUAUGGCCUCUAUGACCCACACGCGUCUUUUGACGCUCAUGACGAGACCUCAGGUCAGGCGGGGCUACCCGCUGAAUUUAAGCAUAUCAAUAAGCGGAGGA